CCCUUAGAUGUUCUGGGCCGCACGCGCGCUACACUGAUACAGGCAGCAAGUUAUAUUUCCCCUUGGCUGAGAGGCCUGGGUAAUCUUGUGAAAUUGUAUCGUGAUGGGGAUAGGUCACUGUAAUCGUUGACCUUUAACGAGGAAUUCCUAGUACGCGCAAGUCAUCAGCUUGCAUGGAUUACGUCCCUGCCCUUUGUACACACCGCCCGUCGCACCUACCGAUUGAGUGGUCCGGUGAGGCUUUGGGAUCUGAGCGGAAAGAGCGUUUCGCUGUUUCUGCUCGGAAAACUCAGUCGAACCUUAUCAUUUAGAGGAAGGAGAAGUCGUAACA
rnacentral:rRNA from 1 species